rnacentral:lncRNA from 1 species
GGGGCGGGGGCAGAGGCUGGGCCAGGCCCCAGCUUAAAAGCCAGGCGCCGGGUAUCACACUGCCUGCCUGCUGCCCACCGGCUCCAACACCCCCGCUCAGCCCGGCCGUCACCUCCCAUCGCCCUCCACUCCUCCUGUGGUGAGAACACACACAGCCCAGGCCAUGCCUCCCCCACUGGGCUCUGACGAGCUGAUUUUCUUCGUGAAUGGGAGGAAGGUGACAGAGCGGGCUGUGGACCCGGAGGUGACCCUGCUGACCUUCCUGCGAAGGAAGCGGACCCUUUCAGCCAGUGCUGGCAAAGCUCUGUUCUCCCGCCCAGCCCCGGGCCCUGGCUGUGGGCCCAGGAUUUAGGGGUGUCAGGUUGCAGGGCUGGUUUGGGCGGGUGAGGUUUGCCCAGAGCAGUUUAGACCAGCUUCAGAGGUGUGAAGGAAGCUGCACCCUUCCCUCCGAGCUGCCUGCAGCAGGGUGUCGGGGUGACUGGCCUCGGACCCAGCCCUCGCACAAAGCCUCUUCCCCAGUGGGGAGAGCCCCCUCCGAGCCUGUGUCCCAGACUCAAGAGCGCGGUGCCGAUACACUGUGUCUGUACGGUCUCUCAGAGUGGCCAGGGCGUGACAGAAUUACACCUGGAUGGCCUGGCCCCACACAGGUUCUGUUUAAAGGCCCAAGUGGCUCCUAAUUAGUUGUGCACACUUGAAAAGUGGGACAUUUCAUGUUUAAAAGAUCAAGAUCCCCUUCACGCUGCUCGUGUCAAGCGGGGGCUCGGGGCUGAGUGGGCGUCCCCCCGUCAGGUGGCCUUCCUGGUGGGCUUUGGGCUCUGCCUUGACUCGGGCGGGGAGCCCAAGUGAGGAGCGAUGGCGGCGGAGGCUCUGGCGUCCCUCGGCGAGUCUGGUCAGGCACGGCUGGGCCCGCACGCUGUGGCACCGCUCUGGAGAGGAGGAGGAGCGGAGAGAGGGCCCAGGCGGAGGUGGACUGGGGUCCAUCCUCAGGCCAGGCAGAGGGGAG